AGAGUUUGAUCAUGGCUCAGGAUGAACGCUAGCGGCAGGCCUAAUACAUGCAAGUCGAACGGACUGGAGUAGCAAUACUUCAGUUAGUGGCGCACGGGUGCGUAACGCGUAUGCAACCUACCUUUUAUUGGGGGAUAGCCCGAAGAAAUUCGGAUUAAUACCGCAUAAUAUCAUUUGAGGGCAUCUGAGGAUGAUUAAAGCUACGGCGAUAAAAGAUGGGCAUGCGUGUCAUUAGCUAGUUGGUUGAGGUAACGGCUCACCAAGGCGACGAUGACUAGGGGUUCUGAGAGGAUGAUCCCCCACACUGGUACUGAGAUACAGACCAGACUCCUACGGGAGGCAGCAGUAGGGGAAUAUUGGGCAAUGGCGGAAACGCUGACCCAGCCCAUGCCGCGUGCAGGAUGAAGGCCUUCUGGGUUGUAAACUGCUUUUAUCUAGGAAGAAAAUACUCUUGCGAGAGGAACUGACGGUACUAGAUGAAUAAGCACCGGCUAACUCCGUGCCAGCAGCCGCGGUAAUACGGAGGGUGCAAGCGUUGUCCGGAUUUAUUGGGUUUAAAGGGUGCGUAGGCGGCUUCAUAAGUCCGUGGUGAAAGCCAACAGCUCAACUGUUGAACUGCCAUGGAUACUGUGAGGCUUGAGUACAGACGAGGUAGGCGGAAUGGAUCGUGUAGCGGUGAAAUGCAUAGAUACGAUCCAGAACUCCGAUUGCGAAGGCAGCUUACUAGGCUGUAACUGACGCUGAGGCACGAAAGCGUGGGGAGCGAACAGGAUUAGAUACCCUAGUAGUCC
rnacentral:rRNA from 1 species